GACGAACGCUGGCGGCGUGCCUAAUACAUGCAAGUUGAGCGAUGAAGAUUGGUGCUUGCACCAAUUUGAAGAGCAGCGAACGGGUGAGUAACGCGUGGGGAAUCUGCCUUUGAGCGGGGGACAACAUUUGGAAACGAAUGCUAAUACCGCAUAAUAACUUUAAACAUAAGUUUUAAGUUUGAAAGAUGCAAUUGCAUCACUCAAAGAUGAUCCCGCGUUGUAUUAGCUAGUUGGUGAGGUAAAGGCUCACCAAGGCGAUGAUACAUAGCCGACCUGAGAGGGUGGUCGGCCACAUUGGGACUGUGACACGGCCCAAACUCCUACGGGAGGCAGCAGUAGGGAAUCUUCGGCAAUGGACGAAAGUCUGACCGAGCAACGCCGCGUGAGUGAAGAAGGUUUUCGGAUCGUAAAACUCUGUUGGUAGAGAAGAACGUUGGUGAGAGUGGAAAGCUCAUCAAGUGACGGUAACUACCCAGAAAGGGACGGCUAACUACGUG
rnacentral:rRNA from 1 species